rnacentral:misc_RNA from 1 species
GAGAAGAACGCAGCGAAAUGCGAUAAGUAAUGUGAAUUGCAGAAUUCAGUGAAUCAUCGAAUCUUUGAACGCACAUUGCGCCCGCCAGUAUUCUGGCGGGCAUGCCUGUCUGAGCGUCAUUUCAACCCUCAUGCCCCUAGGGCGUGGUGUUGGGGAUCGGCCAAAGCCCGCGAGGGACGGCCGGCCCCUAAAUCUAGUGGCGGACCCGUCGUGGCCUCCUCUGCGAAGUAGUGAUAUUCCGCAUCGGAGAGCGACGAGCCCCUGCCGUUAAACCCCCAACUUUCCAAGGUUGACCUCAGAUCAGGUAGGAAUACCCGCUGAACUUAAGCAUAUCAAUAAGCGGAGGA